GAGAGCGCAGUACAACGGAGAGUUGUAUGCUGCGUUUGGGAAGGAUGAAUCGCUCCCGAAAAGGAAUCUAUUUAUUUUCUCCCAAUUGGUUUGGUUGGACCUUAGGUUCGAUGAUUUACUUCAU
rnacentral:ncRNA from 1 species